rnacentral:sRNA from 1 species
GCAGGGUGCAGUGGUGCACACCUGUAAUCUCAAUGACUCGGGAGGCUGAGGUGGGAGGAUCUCAAGUUUGAGGCCAGCCUCAGCAAUUUAGUGAUACCCUAUCUCAA